CGUAGCGAAAGUUACGCUAAUACCGCAUACGAUCUACGGAUGAAAGCGGGGGAUCGCAAGACCUCGCGCGAUUGGAGCGGCCGAUAUCAGAUUAGGUAGUUGGUGGGGUAAAGGCUCACCAAGCCAACGAUCUGUAGCUGGUCUGAGAGGACGACCAGCCACACUGGAACUGAGACACGGUCCAGACUCCUACGGGAGGCAGCAGUGGGGAAUUUUGGACAAUGGACGCAAGUCUGAUCCAGCCAUUCCGCGUGCAGGAUGAAGGCCCUCGGGUUGUAAACUGCUUUUGUACGGAACGAAAAAGCCUUGGCUAAUACCCAGGGUCCAUGACGGUACCGUAAGAAUAAGCACCGGCUAACUACGUGCCAGCAGCCGCGGUAAUACGUAGGGUGCAAGCGUUAAUCGGAAUUACUGGGCGUAAAGCGUGCGCAGGCGGUGAUGUAAGACAGAUGUGAAAUCCCCGGGCUCAACCUGGGAACUGCAUUUGUGACUGUAUAGCUAGAGUACGGCAGAGGGGGAUGGAAUUCCGCGUGUAGCAGUGAAAUGCGUAGAUAUGCGGAGGAACACCGAUGGCGAAGGCAAUCCCCUGGGCCUGUACUGACGCUCAUGCACGAAAGCGUGGGGAGCAAACAGGAUUAGAUACCCUGGUAGUCCACGCCCUAAACGAUGUCAACUGGUUGUUGG
rnacentral:rRNA from 1 species